GCCCGGCUAGCUCAGUAGGUAGAGCAUGAGACUUUUAAUCUCAGGGUCGUGGGUUCAAGUCCCACGUUGGGCG
rnacentral:tRNA from 1 species